rnacentral:rRNA from 1 species
GAUUAACGCUAGCGGCAGGCCUAAUACAUGCAAGUCGAACGGUAACAUGGGUAGCAAUAUCUGAUGACGAGUGGCGCACGGGUGCGUAACGCGUAUGUAAUCUACCUCUAACUGGGGGAUAGCCUUCCGAAAGGAAGAUUAAUACCGCAUAAUAUAAUGAAGAGGCAUCUUUUUGUUAUCAAAACUCUGGUGGUUAGAGAUGAACAUGCGUGACAUUAGCUAGUUGGUGAAGUAAUAGCUCACCAAGGCUACGAUGUCUAGGGGGUCUGAGAGGAUGAUCCCCCACACUGGUACUGAGACACGGACCAGACUCCUACGGGAGGCAGCAGUAAGGAAUAUUGGACAAUGGGGGCAACCCUGAUCCAGCCAUGCCGCGUGAAGGAUUAAGGGCCCUAUGGGUUGUAAACUUCUUUUAUAAGGGAAAAAACCUCUCUACGUGUAGAGAGUUGAUGGUACUUUAUGAAUAAGGGUCGGCUAACUUCGUGCCAGCAGCCGCGGUAAU